UACAAAGACUUCAAGUGUUGCCUAAUGUAAAAUUUUUGGAGAACGCUUCUCGACAUAUGAAGCUACGCUUUACUAGCAUUAUUUUUGGCAUUUUUUGAAAGCAACACCGUACAAACGUAGUCUAAAAUUUUUAGAAAAUUAGACAAAACUUUCCCGCUUAAAAUAUUCCCUCUAAAAUUUUCCAUAGAUCGAUUCAACCUCACUCUAGGUCUAGGUCUAGGGCUUGAAACUCACAAAGAAAAAUUUUUCUUCACUAGAUUUUUCAAAAGAAAGGACGGUCCUUGGCACCCAGUCGGCGACGAGUUCUGAUUUACUUCAUUCGACUUCUAAAGACAACAAGAAAGGUCCGUCAUUUGAGUUUUAUCAAUUUUUUGAAACCAGUAUAGGGUUUAUUUAAGUGAGUACUCGAUUAUCCAGACAUUCUCUACUUUUAUUUGGUAUGUGCAUUUAAUUGGAGAAAUUUCAGUAAUUAGUUGUAUUUUUGAAUGUAUUGUAAGUGGAAUUUUUUAGGGAAUUCUGUGCCUUUCUUCUGAAUCUGGGAGAAACACGGAUUAGACAACUUGUAGAACUUUUAAUGUAUCUGUGUUUGGAUAGGCUUGUUAUGGGUUUCACAUAAGAGGUUUAAAAUCAUUCUAUUAAAAUUUGUUAUAUUGCUUUAUUGUCUUACAAACUUCACCUAAAUUUUAAUAUUUUUGAUAAUGCAUUUGUUUCAAUUUCUUUUGUAUCUCUUGGAUAACAAAGGAAGAGUAGAGAUUGCCGAUGAUAUUUGAAAUGUCCACUUAUAAUUCAGCUGUACUGUAUUUCUUUGGUAAAACUCAGCUUGAUUGACUUGAAUAAAGCUAAAACUUCUAUUUUUAAUUGAAGAACUCGAAUAUUUCAAGAGCACACAAUUCCUUUGAAUUUAUGUUUGAGAUGAGUUUACAAAUUUAAUGUAGAAACAAUUCUGGUCGCAUAAACUUUUGAAGCUUUAAACCAAUUUUGUUUAUUUUAUUUUUUUAUAACAGGUAUACAUCAUUGGCCAUGGUCUGACCAAGAAGUACAAAGAUCUUCAGACAAUAAGCAUACCAUCCAGGUACAAAAAUUAAACAUGUAACUAAAUUGUAUUUUUACAAUACUAAAAAGAAGGAAGAGAAAUUACAGUAUGUUAGUAUUAUAGAUGAUUAAUCUCUUUAUAUUGUUGUACUCAUAUAAGUAAUCUUAUUUCCUUUGUAUGUAGUAUAGUCUUGCUUUGCUUUGUUGAGUUACGCUUUGGCUAGUUUAGUAUCUCGUAAAAAUUUAUAUAAUCUUGUCCUUAUUUAAUAGCAUCAUGAGAGAAGGUAUAACAUAUAUUUAUAUCAGUUUGAGAAAAUUAAUAAAUUACAUAAAACUGGAGAGAUAUACCCCUUAGGAAAUACUAUGAAACCAUAGAAAACCAAAUAAACUACAUUUGUUGUUAUUUUCUAUUAACUUGAAGCUGCUUGGGCUAUCUCUCUUUGGAAUUUGAAUUACACUCACUGGAUCAUCAGGAGGUUCUGCAAAAACUUUAAUUUUGACAAUAGAGCAAUCUUUGAUAUUGUAAGCAGAUAGAGGUUGAUCACUCUUCAUUUUUGCAGACUUGUGAUAAACACUCAUGUAUUUCAUCUCCCCAUACCUUGAUGAUUAUCUUCAUUAAUUCUUUUAUUGUACUAUUUCCUCUCACUUAAGUAUAGAACUCAGAUGUUGGAGACUCCACCUUUAUUCUUAUUCUAGGUCCUCCAUCCAUAAGGUACAAUAUUUUUUCUUUUUUAACGAAUCCGAGCAACAAUGAACUAAGUAUUAAGAAACUGAAGCAACCAGUAAGGCAGAAAGUUGAGAUUGAAGUAAGAGUUGUGGUGGAAUGUUGAGAGUUAUCAAGAUUUUCAAUUAUAAAUAGACUUUUGGAAUGGGAAUUUAUAAUAAUUUAAAACGUGGAUUAAACUAUUCCACACGCCAUUAAGGUUUCUCCCAAGAUACAAAAUUUAUUAGUGUUAACAUGCAAAUAUUUCCAAGUAUUUAAAGCAAUAAUAUAAUACUCCUCACUUUCACUACAACAACUUUAGUCUAAGGCUACGCUAGUUUUUCCACGCUUGAAAAACAUGGUCAAUCCUAUCUAUAGGCAUGCUUUAUAGGAGUGGCAUUUGUUUACGUCUUUUGGCCAUGCAAAAUUUAACAAUGCCUGUAAAGUGUGCCUUUAGGAAGUAUAGAUGAAGCUUUAAAGAUGUACACAAAUCUUAAAACAAUUAGCAAUACCUUUUUAUAUUUAUUGCUACUCUUUCAAGCGUGCUAUAUUUGUAAUACUAAAGGCAACACUUUAUCUGAGUAGAGAAUCUUAAUAUAUAUGUCCAAUUAUCUUUGCAGCUUUGCUAAAUUAUUAUGUUGACAAUCUCAGGUCAGCCUUUAUCUUUGUGUUCUUAUUGAUAUUCUUUUAAAUUGCAGAUUGUGAGAUUUAUUUCUAUGCUACUGAAGUUGGUUGUGAAGUUGCCGAGAAAGAGUUGAUCAGAUCUGCUCAAAACAUAUUUUAGAUAAUUUCUACCAUGUGAUUUAGUGCUUGACAAAGUAAAUAUUACUUCAACUAAUUUUUACCUUUCCACAUAUGACACCUACAUGUGAAAUUUGUAUUUAAGUUAAGAGAAUUCCUACUAUUUUGAGUGUUCAUUUAGAAGGUGGGGUCACAAUUCACAUAAUUUGUACAGAACCGAG
rnacentral:lncRNA from 1 species